GAUCUGUAAAAGAUGGCAGCAACAAAUGUGGUUCACGGCUGACUGGUUGACCUUGGCAGUGACUGAGAAAGUCAAUAUUUAAAGAGCAAUUUUUUUUCCCUCUGGUAAGAAGUGAUAGUGCUGUUGGAAGGUGAGGGAAGGGGGGCAAGAUACUGCAUGAAACCUUCAUUUUGUGAUAUGGAAGAUGUUCUCAGUGUAAAACCACUGAGUCCCAGGACUGCCUGUUUCCCAUGUUGUUCUGGAGUUCACUAAACAGUUCUGGAACCUGGGACGUCUAAGUACAUGACUUUCAAAAUAGGAAAGGCUUACGUGGAGUUCCUCUGCCUCUUUACAGUGUCUGCCUUUCUGAUGGCACCAUUCCCACAGUGAAUGGUGCCUACCAUUUACUAUCUACCACCUGACCAUGGGCACAGUCAGCUUUCAGCUUCAGCUCUUUUAUUGUCUACUUUCUAUUGAUGAGGAAUCUGGAGCCCAGGGAAGUAGAAUGAAGAACCUACAGUCUUGGGCAGGGACACAUUUCUCCCUUAAGCCUCUUGGUUCCAAUCUCACCUCUGGCUUUGUGCAGCAGACUGACCUGCUUCAUGGCCCUGCAUUCUGGUAUUAUUGCUGAAACAAAACUGCUCUGUGAACUGCAGGAAGCCAAGUUUUUGCAGGAAACACCACAUGGCUUCAAAACCUUACCAUGCUGAUUUAGUCCUCAAGGCAGUGGUUGGUUGUGAAGAAAGGAAUUAGAAAUAUUCCUAGGGCAUUUCAAUCUGUAGUUAAUGGAGGACUUCUAUUUUGAGAGUUAAAACCAGAUCUGAAGGAUAACAAGUUGUAGCCAGGGAUCUCAUCCCAAGGAAAUGUGAAAUGGUAAUCAUUUCUCAGAGAACUGGAAACCCUAGCCCUCUCUGUUCUUAGAGGCACGAGGCUAGAGCCAAUCCACCAGCAAGAAGAGCCAUUCCUAGCUGAACCCAAGAAGGAGCUGCCAGGAUCUGAACUCUCAUCUUUGCCUCCUUAGUUCUCCCAUCCCACACCACUUGUGCCAAGUCUGGUCAAUUUCCUGUGGGAUCAUUGAUACAUAGGAAUUCUUUGUUACUACUUUUUUUUUUUUUUUUUUUUUGCUUCACUUGAAAAUAACUAAGGAUAAACAAAAAAACAACAGUAUAUGCUGUUUCUGUUCCAGAGUCAUGUGCAUUUUAUUCUAAAUGACAGUAUUUAACAACAAAAUUGCUUCAUUUCAACCUCAUUGCAUUUCUUCAAGUGGGAGUACUAUAAUUUAAAAAUAAUAAAUGCAACAGAGUGAAUAUAUUGCUUUCAUUAAUCCCCAAUACUGCUUAUUUUCAGCACUUUUAAAUUAUUUGGGUGUGCUCAAUAGAUUUAGUUGAAGUGGAAAAAAAUCAUUCAAAUUUCAGACCAUUUGCAAUUAUCAAUUUAUCUGCUGUUUUCCAGCCAAGUAACUGAACUUCAGAGUAGCAUUUAGUUUGAAUGAUUUCCUCCCUACCCCCUGCCUGGUAUGAAACAGUGAAUUAGUCAAGUAAAAAUGUCUGUGGAAUUGAAGAUGCUAUAAACAAGGGCAUCAUAUACUCUGAAUUAUCAGCCAGCACAGGUGAUGUUGAUUGCAUGUCAUGGUGUCCCAAGGACAUCCAGAGUGACAGUGGAAACUUUCUGUCUCUAUGCCCAAAGUGAAGUGAAGAAUUAAGGCAGUAAUCUGAACAUUUCUCUUCUAACCUGCCCUUUGCUUGAUUCCCAAGAAUUUAAAGGAAAAUAUGAAAUUUUAAGGUCUUUAAGUACUAGAACUUAAGCACUAAAUUGCCAGAUAAAAUACAGGAUGCCCCCAUUAGAUUUGAAUUUCAGAUAAACAGUGAAUACUUUUUUAGUGUAACUCUGUCCCAAAUAUUGUACCAUGCCUGUAUUUUUAUCUGCUAUAUCUGGCAACCCUUUUGAGGAUCAAGACCCUGCAUCUUGUUAAUUUGCAUGUUUUUUUGUUUUUUUUUUAAUAUGGCAUGGUAGUGACUAAUUGUAGUAGUUGGAAUUUAUUGAGUGAUUACUAUAUGCCAAGCAUUAUCCUACAUGCUUUACAUUUAUGAUCAUCUGGCCCACACAACAGUUCUGUCAGUUAAGUGUACCGUUGUCUCAUUUUACACAUACAGAAAGAUGAGGCUUAGAGAGGUAAAGGUACUUGCCUAAGAUUGCCACAAAUGUGUGGUUUUAGAGAGUGGUAGCUGGAGUCAGUACAAAGCCCUUUCUGAUUUCACUAUGCCAUUAUGCCUUCUAAUUAAAUGAAAACAAAUGACCAGUUGCAGAUAAGAUCAUGUAUCUCUCUAACUUUUCUUUAAGGACCAGUUGCAGAUAAGAUCAUGUAUCUCUCUAACUUUUCUUUAAGGAUACAAAUACAGUCCUAAAUUCAUAUGGACAUAUUCAAGGUUGAGUUUUGCAGUGUAUAUAUUAAGGCAUACAUGCAGAACUCAUCUUACUGGCAAAUGGACUGACCCAUCCCCUAUUAUUAAAAGGAAACUCAUGUGGCAAGAUAUAAAUUGAAGGUAUGAAAUGCAAUGGCAGUAAUUGGACAGAACUUCAAAUGAGUGAAAGCAGCUUCCAACAAUUAGUUGUUUUGAACCCAGUAAAAUUCCUGUUAUUUCACUUAAUUUUAAACUCAUUAUGGGUUGCCCUGAGGUAUUUAAAUUUAAUUUGGGGGUUUUUGAAUUGUGGAUUUGCUUAAAUGUAGGCUUCAUCUCCUAAUUGGUUAAUGAGCAAGUGCAUUUGCAAAUGGGCCAGAUUCCACGCUGAGGGUCUCAUCAUAACAUUUCUUCUUAAAUAUCUAUUGCAUGUAAUUAUUGAAAAGAUGAUGAAACAUUUUGAAAAAAUUCAAGAGAAAACAGCACCCACGACAGAGCACAAUCAUUUUCAUUUUUGCAUAUUCCUUUCCUGUUACUGAUUUCUGAAGUGGCCAGAACUGAUAGAGAUUCCACGGAGCUUGUUAGAAAUGAAUUCAUGAUUUUUGUCAAGAAGAAACUGCCUACUUAGAAGAAAAGGCAGAUGAGGAAAGAAAAUGUCUUGCAAUUCAAAGCAAUUCUGUUUUUUAUUCUUUUUUUUUUUUUUAAUUCCCUAAACAGGACAUGCAGUGAAGUGUUAAGCAGUUUUUUCCUUUCUCACUAUAAUUAUUCCUUUGACUUCAGAGGUACUGUGGAGAUGCGAAUUGAUUUCUGGAUUCUGAGAUCAAGGUCAGGCACCUGCCAUAGAAUUAACUGAGACUGACACUAGGUGGGACUCCUUGGUUUUCCCAGGACUCAUUUAUUGAGCGGUACUAGGUUAAGUAGUAGAAAUACACACACACACACACACACACACACACACACACACACACUGAACUAGAAUUUACCAUGCUGUGACAGAAGGUGGCGCAGCGGUUUGGCGCCUGCCUUUGGCCCAGGGCGCGAUCCUGGAGAUCUGGGAUCGAAUCCCACAUCAGGCUCCCGGUGCAUGGAGCCUGCUUCUCUCUCUGCCUCUCUCUCUCGCUCUCUCUCUGUGACUAUCAUAAAUGAAUAAAAAAUUAAAAAAAAAAAAAGAAGUCUGAAUUAUUGUAGACAGAUAGCAGUGUGGUGCUGAUG